GACGAACGCUGGCGGCGUGCCUAAUACAUGCAAGUCGAGCGCAGGAAGUCGACGGAACCCUUCGGGGGGAAGUCGACGGAAUGAGCGGCGGACGGGUGAGUAACACGUAAAGAACCUGCCCUCAGGUCUGGGAUAACCACGAGAAAUCGGGGCUAAUACCGGAUGGGUCAUCGGACCGCAUGGUCCGAGGAUGAAAGGCGCUCCGGCGUCGCCUGGGGAUGGCUUUGCGGUGCAUUAGCUAGUUGGUGGGUUAAUGGCCCACCAAGGCGACGAUGCAUAGCCGACCUGAGAGGGUGAUCGGCCACACUGGGACUGAGACACGGCCCAGAGUCCUACGGGAGGCAGCAGUAGGGAAUCUUCCACAAUGGACGAAAGUCUGAUGGAGCAACGCCGCGUGAACGAUGAAGGCCUUCGGGUCGUAAAGUUCUGUUGUAAGGGAAGAACAAGUGCCGCAGGCAAUGGCGGCACCUUGACGGUACCUUGCGAGAAAGCCACGGCUAACUACGUGCCAGCCGCCGCAGUAAGAC
rnacentral:rRNA from 1 species